ensembl:snoRNA SNORA71 Small nucleolar RNA SNORA71
ACCUGCAUCGAUAGUGAUCUUGGUAUCCUUGUUGCCUGGUCAUCGAUACUGCAGGAAAAGUAACCUGAAAGCAUUUCCCGUGUUUGUAUGGGUCAGUGUUAUCCCUUUCAAACCUCGUAGCUUUCAGACA